rnacentral:rRNA from 1 species
UUUUGUCCGGAAAGAAAACUUCCUGGUUAAUACCUGGGGAGGAUGACGGUACCGGAAGAAUAAGCACCGGCUAAUUACGUGCCAGCAGCCGCGAUAAUACGUAGGGUGUGAGCGUUAAUCGGAAUUACUGGGCGUAAAGCUUGCGCAGGCCGUUCGUUAAGACAGAUGUGAAAUCCCCGGGCUUAACUUGGGGACUGCGUUUGUGACUGGCGAGCUAGAGUAUGAGGGGGGGUAGAGUUCCACGUGUAGCAGUGAAAUAGGAAUACCGAUGGCAGUGAAAUAGGAAUACUGAUGGCGAAGGCAACUCCUUGGGCUAAUACUGACGUUCAUGCACGAAAGCGUGGAGAGCAAACAGGAUUAGAUACCCUGGUAGUCCACGCCCUAAACGGUGUCAACUAGUUGUUGGGGGUUCAUUUCCUUACUCAGUAACGUAGCUAACGCGUGAAGUUGACCGCCUGAGGAGUACGGUCACAAGAUUAUUAAAAUUCAAAGGAAUUGACGGGGACCCGCACAAGCGGUGGAUGAUGUGGAUUAAUUCGGUGCAACGCGAAAAAUCUUACCUACUUUUGACAUGGUCAGAACCCUGCUGAAAGGUGGGGGUGUUCGAAAGAGAACCGAUACACAGGUGUUGCAUGGCUGUCGUCAGUUUGUGUGGUGAGAUGUUGGGUUAAGUCCUGCAACGAGCACAACCCUUGUCCUUAGUUGCUACGCAAGAGCACUCUAGGGAGACUGCUGGUGAAAAACCGGAAGGUUGGGGAUGACGUCAAGUCCUCAGGUCCUUAUAGGUAAGGCUUCACACGUCAUACAAUGGUCGGAAGCCAGAGGGCCGCCAACCCGUGAGGGGGAUAAUCCCAGAAAACCGAUCGUAGUCUGCAACUAGACUACGUGAAGCUGGAAUCGAUAGUAAUUGCGGAUUAGCAAGCCGCGGUGAAUACGUUCCCGGGUACUGUAUACACCGCUCGUCACACCAUGGGAGUGGAUUUUCCAGAAGUGGCUAGUCUAACCGCAAGGAGGACGGUCAUCACGGUAGGAUUUAUGACUGAGGUGAAGUCGUAACAAGGUAGCGGUAUCGGAAGGUGCGGGUGGAUCACUUUUUUCUC